rnacentral:rRNA from 1 species
GUGAGACAGGUGCUGCAUGGCUGUCGUCAGCUCGUGUUGUGAAAUGUUGGGUUAAGUCCCGCAACGAGCGCAACCCUUAUCCUUUGUUGCCAGCGGUCCGGCCGGGAACUCAAAGGAGACUGCCAGUGAUAAACUGGAGGAAGGUGGGGAUGACGUCAAGUCAUCAUGGCCCUUACGACCAGGGCUACACACGUGCUACAAUGGCGCAUACAAAGAGAAGCGACCUCGCGAGAGCAAGCGGACCUCAUAAAGUGCGUCGUAGUCCGGAUUGGAGUCUGCAACUCGACUCCAUGAAGUCGGAAUCGCUAGUAAUCGUGGAUCAGAAUGCCACGGUGAAUACGUUCCCGGGCCUUGUACACACCGCCCGUCACACCAUGGGAGUGGGUUGCAAAAGAAGUAGGUAGCUUAACCUUCGGGAGGGCGCUUACCACUUUGUGAUUCAUGACUGGGGUGAAGUCGUAACAAGGUAACCGUAGGGGAACCUGCGGUUGGA